rnacentral:rRNA from 1 species
ACGAACGCUGGCGGCGUGCUUAACACAUGCAAGUCGAACGGGAGGAAAGAGAAGCUUGCUUCUUUUGAAUCUAGUGGCAAACGGGUGAGUAACACGUAAACAACCUGCCUUCAGGAUGGGACAACAGACGGAAACGACUGCUAAUACCGAAUGUGUUCCGGAGACCGCAUGAUUUCCGGAAGAAAGGAUGGCCUCUAUUUAUAAGCUAUCGCCUGAAGAGGGGUUUGCGUCUGAUUAGGCAGUUGGUGAGGUAACGGCCCACCAAACCUACGAUCAGUAGCCGGUCUGAGAGGAUGAACGGCCACACUGGAACUGAGACACGGUCCAGACUCCUACGGGAGGCAGCAGUGGGGAAUCUUCCGCAAUGGACGAAAGUCUGACGGAGCAACGCCGCGUGAGUGAUGACGGCCUUCGGGUUGUAAAGCUCUGUGAUCGGGACGAAUGGCUGGUAUGCUAAUACCAUAUCAGAGUGACGGUACCCGAAUAGCAAGCCACGGCUAACUACGUG